CCACUUUGACAAUAUUUACUUAAGUAUUUCCCCCCACCUCACUCACACACAUGCUCCCCCACACUGGUUCCCUUAAAUAGUUCCAGUAGAAUUUUUUUUUUUCCCUUAAGAAAGGAAAGAGAAAGUCCAACCACUACGGCAAUACUUUUAAGCUCUACUAAAUGAUCGUAUCCUUUCUGGCUUCGAAACUUUUGUACCUAAAAAUCGAGAGAGGCGCUGCAUUUUUUCAGUUGAAACUGUCAAAACUUGGAGAAGGGGGACCUCGGAGGCAGGCAGGAGAGGAGGAGAAUCCUGAAAACUCGGUGGAGGUUGGGAAGAUGCUGUGCCUCGAGGAUUAGUUUAAACAGGGGGCUAUAAAAGAUGUAACAGAUGCAAACUGUAACACAAGGGCCAUUAACCCUUUCUCUGCCGGGCACACUCAGUCCCCACGCCCCACACCUAUUGUCUCCUGUGCUAGAAGCUUUGCAGAAAACCUGGAAAUUUUGGCCAGAAAUGGUGAGAAGAAAAAGCAUGAAGAAGCCGCGAAGUGUGGGGGAGAAAAAGGUGGAAGCGAAGAAACAGCUCCCGGAGCAAACUGUACAAAAACCUCGCCAAGAGUGUCGGGAGGCAGGACCGUUAUUCCUGCAGAGCAGGAGAGAGACGAGAGACCCUGAAACACGCGCCACCUAUCUUUGUGGGGAGGGAUAAUUGAAGCGCCCUGAGCGUGAGCAUCAUGUGAAAACGUGAUCGCCAAGUUUCUCUCUGGGAAAGGAUCUGGGAUAGAUUAUACCUUGAAGUCUCCGCAAACGCUUUAGUGGAAGAAAUGAAAUUCCACCUCCCUCCCUUCCUCCUCUCCCUCCCUUUCGCCUUCGCCUCCUUCCCCCCUCCCUCCCUUCUCCCCCCCUCCACCCCCCCUCCCCGCCCGUCAAGCCUUUGGCAUCAUUAUCCUCAUCACUAAAUCCUACAGAGUACAGGGCGGAAAACGGUGCACACCAUUCACAGAACUGGAGAACUCCAAGGGGCGAAAGUUAAAGGGAAAGAUCCUGGGUCCUCAAUCCAGAUAGUCUCUUCUUAUACAGAUAUCUCUAAUGACCAGAUUUGAGAUGCACAUCAAAUUGUGUAGGUAUCUCAGUACAGCUUCUGGAACAAAGUUCUCUGCCCUUUCUCUUAUUAUUAUUUUUUUCUUUUUAGGUACCAGAGCCAGAAAAAAAUUGCUGCAUGGGAGCUGCAUCUUAGGGCAUGUGUAUUAGGGUGUGUGCAUGAUGAAUUUCUGGACUGGAUCCCAAUAUUAAAAAGUAGUUUGGCAUUUUAAUAAAGGGUCUCUAAGUAAAUUAACAUAGAA
rnacentral:antisense_RNA from 1 species